CAGCAGUGGGGAAUAUUGGACAAUGGGGGCAAGCCUGAUCCAGCAAUGCCGCGUGUGUGAAGAAGGCCUUAUGGUUGUAAAGCACUUUAAGCGAGGAGGAGGCUACUGAGACUAAUACUCUUGGAUAGUGGACGUUACUCGCAGAAUAAGCACCGGCUAACUCUGUGCCAGCAGCCGCGGUAAUACGAAGGGUGCGAGCGUUAAUCGGAAUUACUGGGCGUAAAGCGAGUGUAGGUGGCUCAUUAAGUCACAUGUGAAAUCCCCGGGCUUAACCUGGGAACUGCAUGUGAUACUGGUGGUGCUAGAAUAUGUGAGAGGGAAGUAGAAUUCCAGGUGUAGCGGUGAAAUGCGUAGAGAUCUGGAAGGCGGCCCCCUGGACGAAGACUGACGCUCAGGUGCGAAAGCGUGGGGAGCAAACAGGAUUAGAUACCCUGGUAGUCCACGCCGUAAACGAUGUCGACUUGGAGGCUGUGUACCUUGAGUACUUAGUGGCGCAGCUAACGCGUUAAGUCGACCGCCUGGGGAGUACGGCCGCAAGGUUAAAACUCAAAUGAAUUGACGGGGGCCUGCACAAGCGGUGGAGCAUGUGGUUUAAUUCGAUGCAACGCGAAGAACCUUACCUAAUCUUGACAUACCACAGAAUUCUCAGAGAUGCGGAAGUGCCUUCGGGAACUGUGAUACAGGUGCUGCAUGGCUGUCGUCAGCUCGUGUCGUGAGAUGUUCGGUUAAGUCCGGCAACGAGCGCAACCCACGUCCCUAGUUGCCAGCAUUCAGUUGGGCACUCUAUGGAAACUGCCGAUGAUAAGUCGGAGGAAGGUGUGGAUGACGUCAAGUCCUCAUGGCCCUUACGGGUUGGGCUACACACGUGCUACAAUGGUGGUGACAGUGGGUUAAUCCCCAAAAGCCAUCUCAGUUCGGAUUGUCCUCUGCAACUCGAGGGCAUGAAGUUGGAAUCGCUAGUAAUCGCGGAACAGCAUGCCGCGGUGAAUACGUUCCCGGGCCUUGUACACACCGCCCGUCACACCAUGGGAGUUGGGUUUACCCGAAGGCGGUGCGCCAACCAGCAAUGGAGGCAGCCGACCACGGUAGGCUCAGUGACUGGGGUGAAGUCGAAACAAGGUAGCCGUA
rnacentral:rRNA from 1 species